rnacentral:rRNA from 1 species
GACAGAGGGGGCAAGCGUUGCUCGGAAUUACUGGGCGUAAAGGGCGCGUAGGCGGGAUGGCAAGUCGGUCGUGAAAUCCCUCGGCUCAACUGAGGAUCGUCGAUCGAUACUGCCGUUCUUGAGGAUUGCAGAGGAGACUGGAAUUCCCGGUGUAGCGGUGAAAUGUGUAGAGAUCGGGAGGAACACCAAUGGCGAAGGCAGCUCGCUGGGACGUUACUGACGCUGAGACGCGAAAGCGUGGGGAGCAAACAGG